GUCCAACUGUACCCAUCCUGAGUGGAAAGUUUCUAAAAACGCACCGAAUCUGGCUAUACACGUGGACGCACUGCAUAAACCAUAAACCAGUACGUUUUGAAAAUGAUGACGCAAAUCGAUGAAAUUUGAGAUCCGCCCAAGCUGAUAACGCAUGAGAAAUAUAGAAUCCAGUCCACGCUGAACACGCUCGCGCAUCGGCUGCCUUGGUAACCAGGUAAAUCACACGGAAUUAAGGAGUGCAAUUAAUGAUUUAACACUAUGAGUAAAGGAC